rnacentral:lncRNA from 1 species
UCAAACUACUACCUAAAUUUCCCUUGAAUUUUAGCAUAAUUACUAUGGCAGCUCCUAUUUCAUAACCCAUAUGUUACCUCAUCCUUGGUCUACCCAGUCACCCCUUUUAGCCACUCCUUUGCAAGUUAAAACACCGUCCAACACAAUAACCAUCUGCUACAUAUUCUCUAUUUUAACCUUACCAUUUGCAGUUCCAUCUUUCAUAUUCUAGUUUACCUAUUUUUGGAUAUUUUUUGUAACGGCCCCGAAAAUUUAAAUAAAAUGUAUGUAUUAAAAAUCUCAAAUGCGGAAGCAUAAUAAAAAUUUUGAUUAACAUCCCUUACACAAUAACCAAACGUACUCAAAACGUGAAGGAAUAAACUAACUAAAAGAGAUACUCGAAAUAAGAACUAUAGAUAUAACUAUGAAGUCUUUAGUCGUCCCCUUCGUCGUCUUCCUGCGAAACCGGCUCGGGAACAACGUCUUCCUGAUCUGAAAUGGUUAAAUAAGGAAUGAGCUACACCAGCCCAGUAAAGACAUCACACUAUCUCACCGCCACAGAAGUAAAGGUGGGUAGAGAGCAAAAAUGACCAAUGGAGCAUAAUUUAUAACAACUCAUUUAUUAACAUAAAAACUUUUACUGUCCACUUAGCUCGGUGAGAUCCAUGAAAACAACAUAUGAAAACAAUAACAUUAUCAUCAUCAUGAAAUCAUAUAAACUUUACAACAUAACACUUAACACACCUUUGCAUUUUAAUCAUUAAACAACAUAUUUUCUUAUUUUACCAGCCUACUAGUAUCCAUGGGGAUCCAUAGGGGGUCCCCGCUACCUGUGAACCAUUAACAUUACAACCUGAUUCUAGGGCCGUCCCCAUACCCCGUCUGGUAUGGGCGCCGAAAUCAUGAACCUCAAUACCCCAUCCGGUAUGAGGGUGAAACGGGUCGUCUCCAUACCCCGUUGGUAUGAGAGACCACGUUCCCGGUAGGGUUCCUUACGGAUCCGGUCUGUCCACCACCUCCCAGGAUAUCUAGUCAGGCUGUCCACAUUUUCCACUUAUCAAUUCACAUAACCUUUUUGCCUUUUUUCUUAAUCUCAAUCAUCGAAUCAUACACAACAUGUAAACCAGUAAUUAACACCAAACAAGACAACACAGUAUCGGGUUCACCAUAAUACAAACCAUAAUAAAAGAAACCAUGAUUCAUGCAUACGAGACCAUAACAUAAUUACAUCAAACAUCAUGCUGCAUUUAAUACUGAAAAUUAGAUCAAACAAUAACAGACCAACACUGUAUCAGAC